UACGUAGGUGGCAAGCGUUGUUCGGAGUUACUGGGCGUAAAGAGUGCGUAGGCGGUUUUCUAAGUUUGGUGUGAAAUCUCCCGGCUUAACUGGGAGGGUGCGCCGAAAACUGGAAGGCUUGAGUAUGGGAGAGGUAAGCGGAAUUCCUGGUGUAGCGGUGAAAUGCGUAGAUAUCAGGAGGAACACCUGCGGUGUAGACGGCUUACUGGACCAUAACUGACGCUGAGGCACGAAAGCGUGGGUAGCAAACAGG
rnacentral:rRNA from 1 species